GGUUAAGCGACUAAGCGUACACGGUGGAUGCCCUGGCAGUCAGAGGCGAUGAAGGACGUGCUAAUCUGCGAUAAGCGUCGGUAAGGUGAUAUGAACCGUUAUAACCGGCGAUUUCCGAAUGGGGAAACCCAGUGUGAUUCGUCACACUAUCAUUAACUGAAUCCAUAGGUUAAUGAGGCGAACCGGGGGAACUGAAACAUCUAAGUACCCCGAGGAAAAGAAAUCAACCGAGAUUCCCCCAGUAGCGGCGAGCGAACGGGGAGGAGCCCAGAGCCUGAAUCAGUGUGUGUGUUAGUGGAAGCGUCUGGAAA
rnacentral:rRNA from 1 species